UCUCCAUGGUGAAUUAACUCUGGAACUGGCUUAGAAGGCUGGUAACCCCAUUUGGAAGAGCAACACGCAGGAAGAUCUCACUGAGUCCAUUAAGAAUACUGGAGUAGCCUGGCAUGGUGGUGCACUCCUGUAAACUAAGCAGUGGGAAGACUGGAGCAGGACGAUCACAGUGAGCUCAAGACCAGUCUGAGCUAUAGUGAAUUCAAGAACAGACCAUAUUACAUAGAAAGAAACUAUCUUUAAAAAACAAUAAAAAGACAGAAGCAGCUCUGCACUGCAAGGGGUACACGCUUUCUUAAAUUCAGGCUAGGAUAGGUCAGCAUCCUGAGACUGGUCAAGAAGUGUCACGAUUACACCGCCCCAUUUGAGUCGCACUCACUCUGGCAAGGAUUGGUUUCUGUUGUCACUGUCAGCUCUGAGGGGCGGGCAGUGGAACAGGAGCCAAUCAGUGGCUGUCUUAACUGUCCAAUCAGGUGGCCCAGGAGGGUGGGCUGUGUUUCCUUGUUCCAAAGCCCGGAUCUUGAGAUCAGUGGUGAGAGCCGCCCCUGGGCAGGCCUUCCUGCUUUAGGGUUUCUACUGGCUGCAGGCUGUGGGAAGCACCCGGGAAGACCCUCCAGCGACAAUGUUGGAGUCAAUCAUGGCUUUUGUCUCUAGAGACAUAUUUUGCUAAGGACUACAGAUCCACCAUAAAAAAAGCUCCUGAUCUUAAUUGUCUUUCUACACCUGAGAUGGUCACCUUUUUGUCCUUUCUCCACUGCCUGCCGUGCUCCUGAGAAAUAACACAGUUCUCAACAGUAUUUGAUUCAAGGCACUUCCCUCCUGUUGGCUGCUGUAUUUCAAGACAAAAAUUCCAGAAUGAGGCUAUCAGACUCCAAAUGGUCUUGCAAAUGGAACCAAAGACAAAUGUGCUAGACUUCUUUUAUCAGGAUCCACCAGAUUAGCCUUGUAAAAAGUUCAUAACUGCUAAACUACAAUGCAACUUCUAUGUUGGAUUCUAAAGUUCCAUGGAUCUUCUCCUUAUCCUCUUUGUGGAAGGCUAUUACUAGUUUUUCCUGACUUAAGGCUACCCAAGAUGACAAUACCUGGUGCCUAUUGAGGGCCUUUAGAUUAACACUCUGCAGAGUAUCUCUGACUGCUGAUCACAACUAUGACCUUCUGCAGCCAGAAGUAGUCAGAAUGGUCUUCAGCCCUUGGCCCCUCAUGGCAGUUAGGUGUACUUCUUCAGAGGGAAAAGUAUUAUAGAAAUGUAAGUUAAUUAGAUAUCUUGUAGACAGUUACACAGCCCCCCCACCAAGACUCCAGCCCUCAAGGAACCAACACAGCAAGGAGCCAAAAUGGAGAACAACUGAGGCAUAUUCACUGGUUCCACUGAGAUUACUGGAAGAAGCUGUUAAAGUUUCAGAGAUCCAGGCAUGGACUCAUCGCUCUUGAAUUAAGAAGGUCCAUCAUGAUGACUCCUGGGAGGCCCACACCAAGGAGACAACUCCCUUAAAGAUUACCCUGACAAGACAGGGUGCUCAAAGCCCUGCUCCUGUAACUCCAGAUGCUGACAGGUCAACAAAUGGCUGAAGCCUGAGGACCUCAACCCAUGAACUAUUGCUAUGCAUUCCAGACUUGGUCUUUCCCUGACAUCUUUAUCCUUGCCUAACUCACAGUGAUGGCCUUUACACUUUACAUAGGCUUAGUGACUGUUACUCCAGGGGACUGAAACACUUCUCAAAAAUGUUUUCUUUUAGCCAUAUGUUGGGAUUUUGUGCUGGUGUUUGCUGUCUUAUCCUGUUUGUCCUAGUCAAUGUAAAUAUACUGGGCAGCCAACCUACGUAUCAGAUAUUCGAAGAUUGACUGUACCCCAGACCUGACCACAGGUUUAACGCACAAUACUGUUUUAGACAUCCAGAAGUGAAAGCCAAGACAAAAGAGUGUUUCAGUAUUUUUUGAUGCUUGUCCCGUAUAACAUUAUGGAUGGCCCCAUAUAACAACUGAUUGUAGGGGAAUUUGGUGAGAACAAGAUACUGUGCAGAAAAUGCUGGUAAAUAUUUAUCUCCCAGAUGGAAAAACCCACCAGCUGAUCAACACUGUAGUCUGGACUGGGUUGGACCCAGGUAUCUAUGCCAUCGUUAUGGUGUGGCAAUUGGAAUGGCCCAUACUAUUACAUGGACUCAAGGGGACCCUUACUCAAACACCCCCCAAUGGCAGGAUGUUCUGAUUGUAAGCAAGGUAAAUAUAACCCCUUGCAGUUUAUAGUUAAGUACCCUGUAAACCCCAAGAUGGAUUCUCGGCCAACUUGCAGAUGUAAGAGUAGAUACCUGAGGAAAGGACCCAUGGUGGAUUCUCCAAAUUAAAUUAGGAUGGAAAGUCCCAUUCCAAUCAGAAAAAGUAAGAUUGCCCAUGCCCAGAAACCCCAUUCUUAGCAAAGCUAUAAAAGUAAAAACUGAAAAUCAAAAUGCCACAGAACUAAUCGAAAUAUAUAGCACACACUGAGUAUUGCUGGCCUCAGACCCCAUCCUUGCCUCUGACUGUUGGUUAUGUGCACCCCUAUCUCCCCUUACCUAUUGAGGGAUAGGAAUAUACACGUCACACCCAACCAAAUCAGACUGCCAAUGCCCCUAGAUGACUCUUAAGUCAUUCUGCUAAAAAUAAUGUAACAGCAGACUGUGUAGAAACUGUCACUACCAAAACUACCAUUGAUGCCCCAACAGGAACUUUCUUUGUCUAUGGAGAUGGACCAUAUCACUCUUUCUCACUAACUUAUCAGGGGAUGUGUGCCUAGGCCAUCCUCAUCCUAAACUUGUCCGUAUAUACAUCAGAUAUUAUGUCACAGGUCCCCACUAAUCUUUGGGUCCCUUCCACUAGAAAAAAAAUGGGUCCUGUGGUAUUACCCAUUCUUGCAGCCCUGGCUAUUGUAUACCACCUCACUUUAGGAGCCAUGGCUGUUGGACCGGGACAACAAUAGAAUGCUCUGGGAUGGCAGAAUGCGGAUGACUUAGAUGCUGUCCAACGAGCCCUGGGAACAAUGCAAAAUCAAAUAGACUCUUUGGCAGACGUAGUCCUCCAAAACAGGAGGGCCAUAGUCUUGUUGACAGCCCAACAAGGAGGCACCUGCCUGUUCCUGGGAGAAGAAUAUUGUUAUUAUACCAACUGAUCAGGAGUAGUCAAAGAAACUAUAUAACAACUAAAGGAAAGGAUCAAACAGUACAAAAAGAAAUACAAACCACAAGAAUCUUGGUGGGAUGCUUUAAGUAAAUGGAGACCAUGGCUAGGAGCCAUAUUAAGACCCUUGUUUGUGGUUGUCAUACACCUAACAACAGGGCCUUGUUUCAUAAACUGGUUUAUAUGAUUUGUCUCCCAAUGUCUCAAUUCUAUAAAGAUCCAGGAAUCUUACCAACUCCUGAUGACCUCA